GUGCUCGCUUCAGCAGCACAUAUACGAAGAUUAACAUGGCCCCUGCGCAAGGAUGACACACAAAUUCGUGAAGUGUUCCAUAUUAAA
rnacentral:snRNA from 1 species